rnacentral:rRNA from 1 species
UACGUAGGGGGCAAGCGUUGUCCGGAUUUAUUGGGCGUAAAGCGCGUGUAGGCGGCUUGGCAAGUCCGCUGUGAAAACUCGAGGCUCAACCUCGAGAUGUCGGUGGAAACUGCCUGGCUAGAGUCCGGAAGAGGAGUGUGGAAUUCCUGGUGUAGCGGUGAAAUGCGCAGAUAUCAGGAGGAAUACCGAUGGCGAAGGCAGGGUCUCUGGGCUAGAACUGACGCUCAUGCACGAAAGCGUGGGGAGCAAACGAGGAUAGACGUACC